CCUUAAGUACACAUUUUAAUGCACAUUUAGACAUAAUUUUAUUAGAAAGCUAAGCUCGUGAAGAAGUUUUAUUUCAAAGGGCAGUUAGUGCAUUGAAAGUCUGAGAGCCUUUAGCUGUACUUUGUCUCUCUAACUCAGUAAUCCUCAAGGAAUUCAUGGGGAAUUUGCAGAAAAGUGAUGAGCUCAGCUGAAAGUUACCCACAAAACACCCAGAGGUUUUAGAGAAUAUUUUAAUGCUUUAAGUGGCAGGCUCCAGAGAAGAGGCUGCAGAAAUCAGUGUCGGUGGCCAAGCAGCCGGGAGAGCCGUGCUCUGCUUCUGUGAGUCCCUUCUCUUCUCUCUCACAGCAGGAAAUGAAGGAGUAGUAGCCUCCUUCCCAUCUUCCCACAGGCUGCGAUGCUGCAAGCGCCUCAGGAGGACUUAUGUCAGCCUAAACUCAUGAUUGCGAAUGUCAGUGAGGUGAGGACAGAUUAUCCUUCAUAAGAAUUAACUCAUGGCAUCUAAUUUGGUGAAAAGCUAUAGAACUAUUAAAAAGGUCACAGAGAAGGGAUGCCUGGCUGGCUUUGUCAGUAGAGCAUGUGACACUUGACCUCGGGAUUAUGAGUUCCAGCCCCACUUUGCAGGGUGGGUGGGGGGGGCGGUAGUUAAUUAAAAAAAAUUUUUUUUUUAAUUCUGAGUAGGGGAGUAUUAAUAGACUCACCCUAAUCAUUAUAAUUCAGUGAGAUUGGUAUUAAAAUUGGGCAAGCCUCCCCUACCACUCCCCGCUACAAAAAGAGAAAAAUAAAUAAAUAAAAUUGGGCAAAGCCCUAAAUGCUGGGUAACAGUCAUAUAUCCCGCUUGAUCCCUGAGGGAAGUCAGCCUGGAACUGAAAUAAAUGUGUCACAAAUGGUGUUGGAUGCCUUUUUUGUUUCAUGCAUUUGAUCACGUCAGGCCCUUUUCUGCUGGGCAAGAAAAAAAAAAGGGCACAUAAUUGGUAGUUUCUACUCUGUUUUGGUUUUAGGGAGGAAAUAAUAUAUAGGGUGUGGGCUUACUUUGACUUCUUGCAUUUUCCCUUGUCUCCCACCCCCAGAAAAAUGCAGACUUCUUGUUGGAAUGUGAUGAUGUGUAUGGGGGGGGCGGUAUGGUUUGGAGGAAGGUGGGGGUACAUCUGCACACAUGUGUUUGGGGUGUGUGCCUGUGUAUGUUCGGGGGUGUAUUUGGGGGAAUGUGUGUUGGUGUGUUUGGGGGGUGCACACGUGUAUGAUCGGGGGUGUGUACCCGUGAGGCAAGGGUGGGAAGAGGAAAGGUCACUCACGGACAAAGGAGGGGUGGUUAAGGGGAAGAAGUCUACCUGCGGCUCCACAAACCAGGUAGGUGGUAAAGGGGAAGAAUGGCAGUUUCCCCUGAGCACCGGGAUCUUGUCCGGUUUUCACCCUCUCUUCCCUCACACCUCGUCUCCGUCCCUUCUCCCUUGACCUCCUAAUAGAAGAUUGUAAGUUAAAAUAUUUUUUUGAGGACUUUAUGACACUAGUCUGAAGUCUAAGAGUCUGGACUGUGGCUGGGAAGCUGGAAAACGUGGACUUAGUAGGGACAGCAUCUUUCCGCUCAGAGAUGAGGUUGAGAGGACCCAGUUUGUCAGUACAGAGCCCUCAAUGCUGAAAACCAGGGGGCGUGGGACUCCCUGUGUCUUCUAGAGGAGCUUUCAGCCUCCAGAAGCAUGAAAUCCAGAGAGACUUUUAAAAAACAAAACAGUGAGAGGAUAACACUCACAGGCAGAAAUUCUUCUAGCUCGAGAAUUGGAAACAGUGGCCGGUCUCAGAUUAAAUAAAUGCAUGGUCUCCAAAGCCAAAGGCCAACAUGCUCCUUCCUCUGUUUUCACGUAUGUAUUCAGGUGAAGACAAUCAAUGACGCACACAGAGAAAAGACACCCCCUUGGUGUUCUGGCCACCAGGCUGGCUUUUGCAUAGAAAGUCACAUUUGCUCUCCUACCCACCCCAACCCUGUCCACAUAGCUCUGUUCACUUCGUCGCCUGGAGCCCUACGGAAGUCAUCAAGUUAUACCUGCUUUUUUUGCACCUGCCACCCCAGUCCUCAGGAAGACAGACACAGAGCGAGACGGGACGAAAGGCGUGCUUGCAGCUCUGGCCAGAGACGAGAGGGACAUUUCCCAGGAGACGCUUAGGCUGGACUCUGCUCCUGCUCUUGGCCAGGGGCGUCUCCGCUCUCUGCAGUGCCCGCAGCCAAACUCUGCCUCUCAUCCUCCAGUGCCUGGUACCCCCUCUUCUUGUACUUCCGGGUGCCGUAGAUGGCCAGGGCAAUGACAGCCGCCAGGACGGUGGUGACCCCCAUGGUGACUCCAGCCGCUGCCCCUCCCGACAGACCCCCGCCAUCCCCACGGAUGACCUUCAUGGCCCUGCGCAGCUCCAGCGGCUCCCCCAGCCUCCACUGGCGGGUCUGGGAAUCCUUAAUCCAGGAGCUUGCUGUCUCGCUAUUAGUCACGAUGACAGUAUUGGUGGCAGCCUGACUCAUGAGGGGUGGCCGGGUGUAAGGUGGGAGCCUGGCAGGGGGCAGAGACCCUCCUGUGAAAAGCCCGGACUUGACACAGUAGGACACUUGGCAUCCAUCACUGAUGAGGGCUAGGUGUUGGCUGAAGCCCCCAGGACACUUUUUUAGAGAAGGCGCCCCUUCUGUAAAGGCAGAAUUUACCAAGGGGUUCCCGACUGCACAGCUAAAGAACCCACCAAAGGGGACCGAAAACCUAAAUCCCAACUCAUAGUCCAGAGAGGCACAUACCUUGAGGUUUUCAAAAAGUCUCAGCGGAAAGUAGCCAGGUGGGCAGGACUGCGCAUUCGUCAAGGGGUUUAUGGUCUUACCACUGAAGAGGCCCCCGAAGAGUAGUCCUGAGUUUUCCGGUAUUUGGCCACUGGCUACACACCAAAAAGCCCUAAAUUCAGCCUUCGCCACCCGGAACACGUCUUCGCACACCGUCUUGCAGAAGACGAGGAGGGUGCACUUGCGCCGGCACUCCAGGUGGUUGUAGCCCUCCUCGUGGACCUGGGAUAGCAGGUGGAUGGGGGAGUAGCCAGAGGGGCAGGAGAAAGCACCAGUGAGGGGGUUCCUCUGCUCCAAGGUUUGGCACAGCUGGGCGGCCUCCUUCCCCGAGAGCUGGGUGCAUUCCUGAAAGACCCCCCCGAAGGAGAAGUUGGUCAUUUUCCCCUCGCAGGAGCCAUCAUCGGUGUUGGCCUGAAAGUUGAAGUUGGGCGAAUUGGCGUCUGUGCACCCAGGGUAGGUGUUGAAUGCGUAAUAGUGUCUCACGGCCGCCUCCACCGUCUUGGACAGCUUCUUCACCAGCGGCCCCGGCAGCUCGGGCAGCGUGUCGGGGCUGAUGAAGAAGGGCAGAGGCAGGCCAGCACGGUCUAUGGCCACCAGGUGGUUGGCGAUGCUCUGCUGCCAGGCCUGGAGGGUGAUGCCCGGAUAGAAAGGAACCCCCCCGAUGCUACGGACCCUGGAGUGGGUUCGGUUCGCGAGGUAGCUCUUGGUGAGCGCGUUCUGGGAGGUGUAGUUCUCCUCGAAUUUGUAGUUCACGACGUUCAUGAAGGCGACACCAGCAGAUGCCGUCACGGCAGUGUGGCUGCUCUGGCUGUCCUGUAAGAACGAGGCUCUGAUGUGGUCCUCCUGGAGGAGGGCAGCUCCGGCAUCCACACUGGUGACGACAUGGGUGCCGUAGUUGAGGACCAGAAGCUCUGCCAGGUAGGUGGCCAUCCGCGUCUGGUUGUUCUCCAGGCGGUCGGAGAUGUCCAUGAGGUCCUUCUUGAACCCCCAGCUUAGUUUGGAUGCCGAGUUGAUUUUGACCGUGUAGAUCAGGUUUCGGAUCUGAACCCGGGUAGUUAUGGCUUGGUCCUUCACUUGAAGGGUCUUCAUCUGCUGGAAAUCAGAGGAGAAUUUGCCAUUGACCUUGGAAUACAGGGAGAGCUCCAGGUUGAUGGAGCUGGAGGUGCUGCUCUGGUAAUUCACCCAGGACUCCAGGAUUUCGGAGUUCAUCUCCAGGUUGCUCUGUUUCUGGGCGAUGCUGGUGAUUUCAUCAGGGAUGAUGUACUGUCCAUCCUCCGUGGUCCUGCAGCUCCUGUAGGUCAAGUCCAUCACCCGUCCCAUGUCUACAUUCCGCAGGUUAUCCCAGCCUCCUCCGGGUAAGACUUCUAGAACAGGUAGUUUUAAGGCGUUCUUGCAUUUCUGAAAUCCAGUCUCAUUUGUCUGUUCCAAAGGCUUGUCCGUUUUAGCCCACGCUACCACUACCCAGAAGAGGAUAGCACCCCGGACGCUGCUCAUGGCUCAGACGGCCCUGGCUGCACGCCAGCCCUAAGCAGCAGCCAGAGAGCUGGGUGCAAACUAAACAGAUGGGAAAGAAGGCAGUUGCUGAAACAAACACCUACAACAGUUCUCCCAAAGCCACCAAGCCACCAGUUCCUCUUUAGGCUGAGCUAAUUGCAAAA
rnacentral:lncRNA from 1 species